rnacentral:rRNA from 1 species
UUCCGGUUGAUCCUGCGGACCUCACUGCUAUCGGGGUGGGACUAAGACAUGCAAGUCGUACGCCUCCCAGCCGCCGGGGGAGGCGUGGCGCACGGCUCCGUAACACGUGGCUAACCUACCCUUGGGACGGGGAUAACCCCGGGAAACUGGGGCUAAUCCCCGAUAGGCGAGGAUGCCUGGAAUGGUUCCUCGCCGAAAGGGCACCGGAACCGUGCUUCCGGUGUCGCCCAAGGAUGGGGCCGCGGCCGAUCAGGUUGUUGGUGGGGUAACGGCCCACCAAGCCGAUAACCGGUACGGGCCGUGAGAGCGGGAGCCCGGAGAUGGGCACUGAGAUAAGGGCCCAGGCCCUACGGGGCGCAGCAGUCGCGAAACCUCCGCAAUGCGCGAAAGCGCGACGGGGCCACCCCGAGUGCCGCCCGCUGAGGGCGGCUUUUCCCCGGUGUAGAUAGCCGGGGGAAUAAGGGGAGGGCAAGUCUGGUGUCAGCCGCCGCGGUAAUACCAGCUCCCCGAGUGGUGGGGACGAUUAUUGGGCCUAAAGCGUCCGUAGCCGGCCCGGCAAGUCUCCCGUUAAAUCCAGCGACCUAAUCGCUGGACUGCGGGAGAUACUGUCGGGCUAGGGGGCGGGAGAGGCCGGCGGUAUUCCCGGGGUAGGGGUGAAAUCCUAUAAUCCCGGGAGGACCACCAGUGGCGAAGGCUGCCGGCUGGAACGCGCCCGACGGUGAGGGACGAAAGCCGGGGGAGCGAACCGGAUUAGAUACCCGGGUAGUCCCGGCUGUAAACGAUGCGGGCUAGGUGUUGGCACGGCUACGAGCCGUGCCAGUGCCGCAGGGAAGCCGUUAAGCCCGCCGCCUGGGGAGUACGGCCGCAAGGCUGAAACUUAAAGGAAUUGGCGGGGGAGCACCACAAGGGGUGAAGCUUGCGGUUUAAUUGGAUCAACGCCGGAAAU